GCCGGAGUGGUGAAACUGGUAGACGCGCUAGACUCAAAAUCUAGUAGGGGCGACCCUGUGUCGGUUCGAGUCCGACCUUCGGCACCA
rnacentral:tRNA from 1 species